rnacentral:rRNA from 1 species
AACGAACGCUGGCGGCAGGCUUAACACAUGCAAGUCGAACGGGCACCUUCGGGUGUCAGUGGCAGACGGGUGAGUAACGCGUGGGAACGUACCCUUCGGUUCGGAAUAACCCAGGGAAACUUGGGCUAACACCGGAUACGUCCGCAAGGAGAAAGAUUUAUCGCCGAAGGAUCGGCCCGCGUCGGAUUAGCUAGUUGGUGGGGUAAUGGCCCACCAAGGCGACGAUCCGUAGCUGGUCUGAGAGGAUGANCAGCCACACUGGGACUGAGACACGGCCCAGACUCCUACGGGAGGCAGCAGUGGGGAAUAUUGGACAAUGGGCGAAAGCCUGAUCCAGCCAUGCCGCGUGAGUGAAGAAGGCCUUAGGGUUGUAAAGCUCUUUCAGCGGGGAAGAUAAUGACGGUACCCGCAGAAGAAGUCCCGGCUAACUUCGUGCCAGCAGCCGCCGUAAG